rnacentral:rRNA from 1 species
UUAGGAAUCUUCCACAAUGGGCGAAAGCCUGAUGGAGCGACGCCGCGUGAGGGAUGAAGGCCUUAGGGUUGUAAACCUCUAAAAGAGGGACGAUAAUGACGGUACCUCUUGAAUAGCACCGGCUAACUCCGUGCCAGCAGCCGCGGUAAUACGGAGGGUGCAAGCGUUAUCCGGAAUCACUGGGCGUAAAGGGCGCGUAGGCGGUCUGUUAAGUCCGAUGUUAAAUCCCGGGGCUCAACCCCGGAUAAGCGUUGGAUACUGGCAUGCUAGACGGUUGGUGAGGCGAGUGGAAUUACCAGUGUAGCGGUGGAAUGCGUAGAUACUGGUAGGAACACCCAUUGCGAAGGCAGCUCGCUGGACAACACGUGACGCUGAGGCGCGAAAGUGUGGGGAGCAAACC